rnacentral:lncRNA from 1 species
UUUUUAAUGACAACUUGUAAAUCUGACCAUUUUUGAAUUUCUCAGUAAUAGUUGUGAUUAAAUGAAAAGAAUAAUAUGUGCUACAUAUUAAAUUCCCACCAAAUCUCCUAUUAGCUCCCCUCGUCAACAACAAUCCGAACAAAAUGAAAUUACAAAGCAAACUUAAACUAUAAUCACAUACACGUAUUUAUUAGACACAUGUAUCUUCUUGUAAGUCAAAUUUCGAAUUCUCCUGUAUUCAUCUCCUGUGAGUCCCGAAUCGACAAAGCUUGUGACAUACUUCAAGAGAGCUGCUUCAAGUCAUGUCAGCGUAUAUAUAUCACAUUUAGACUACACAAGAAGAAGAAAAAAAGGAGCAAAUAUAAUGUUUCUCUAGUUAUCUCUAAACGAUAGUGUGUGCUAACUGAUGUAAGACUUUCUUAAGACUAUCAAUAGCAGGAUUUGCAACCAAAAAACAAACAAAUCCUAGAUGUUAUAGACCAGUCUAACAAAUGUACCUUUCUUUGCUAGAAAACAAGUAACACCAAAAGGCACUCACCAUGGUCAAUUUGGCUUCUUAGACAUGCUUAAUGUUGUAGCUAAUUAUUUUUGUGUUUUAAGAGUUUAACAGAGUAGUAUUGUUCUUCGCUACCAUAACAUGCAUGCAUUGUAAUUGAGUGAUCUUCACCAAUAUGGUUUGUUUCAUUAUAUGUGCAGCAUACCUAGAGACUUUCACAGAUACAUAACACAUACAUAUAUAUUAUCACUGAAUAAACAAAGAAUGAAAAGUACCAAGGGAAAAAAACUGACUCAUCACCAACAAACAACCUACGAAUCCACUAUAAAUACAAUUGGUUGCUAAUGAACUAAAGAACAUUCAUUAAAAGACUCUUGCAAAUAACUUUUCAAAUAUUUAUUUUCUAAUAAUGGUCCAAAAUCCACCUUAAACCUUUUCAGUUGAACAAUGGACAACAAUAUACUUAAGUAGGAAAGUUUAUUUUAUAGUAUAUCUGAAUCAUUUUAAAAACAAGAUGCUAUUACACAUAUUGUAAACCUUUUAGAACCACAUACUAUAUUGAUGAGGAUCAUAAAAGUGAACAAAUUGCGCCUUCUCAAAUUCUAUGAGCUAUUACAAUAUUAUAAUUCUGGUGAUGAUUCAUGAAAUAGGAAUUAUUCAAUCCAUCUUUAUUCGUUACAUAUUACCAGAUCAAGAGUGCCAACAAAAUAAAAAGCAUAAUUGAUAUUAUUGUUUCAGUUGCUAUAAGCAACACAUGCAACCAUAAUUAAGGUGACCUGAUAUUGAUAUAUGGCCAAAGGAUAACUGAUGCAGUAACAAUAUAUCCUUCAUAUUAAUUUCACCACAUCUUCCUUGGAACUGUGUAAAAGUUUAUCCUUCCUAACAUGAGAGGAAGGUAAGUUAUCCCCUAACAGGAAUUGUCCCUUGGAAGCAUCUUUACUUGUAUUUGAACUGCUUUGUUUAAUUAUUUUGUAGCCUUCAUAUCAAAUAGAACUUUGUUGCCUUCAGACAUUGAAUGCUUGGGAAUGAAAUCACUCCAACACUCCCUUCUUUGAUAACAAAUUGAUAGUUCACUAAUCAAUUCUCACAUUCAUCCAGGUAAUCCCAUGGAAAAUAAGGGAAUUAUAAUUAUUAGAUAUACCUUUCUAUAAUCAAAUUCUAAACCAGAAAGCUCUUCGUUGUAGGCUUGAGUAAGAAUGUAGAGACACGUAGUUGCUGAAAUUAUUGAUCAUUUUGAAGUGCAGCCAUCUAUGUUAUAACCAUCGUUCUAUCUAUAGAUAUAAAGUGGCAACUUCAGGACCAUAGUUAAUGGACAAAACUAAUUGUUUGUGAAACCCUCAGCCAAAUCUUACCAACAUAAUAGCGUGUCAAAUCUAACUUCCUUGCAAUUAACCAAGAGCAUGUUUAAGAAAAUUGAAGACUGGUUUGUCGUAUUAUUAUGUUCUUGCAGAUGGAUAAAGAAGGAAAUUGUGCUCUGCUUCCUCUCAUAUCCGUGUCAACCGUUUAACUACAAAGUUCUGAAUUUCAAAAAAUAAGAAAUACACGAAAUUUCUGAGAAUUUUAACUACGACAACCUCCUAUUAGCAACAUCAGCACAGCCGCUAAUACAAAGAUAAUAUCGUUUAUCCUCUUUAUCAAUUGGAGUCAUGAAUGCUUAACUUCCUUUGCUUUUACAAGUCAACUGGAUAUGAGAAAAUCCAUUUCUUCAUCCUAGUUCUAGAUUUCAUGUGAUUGAAUAGGUCUAAUUUUUAUUUACAUUUGCUUUUCUUUUUUCAUCAUAAUUUUAAUUUUAUUAUUUACAUCAUUAUGAAUUUUUUUGCUUAUAGUGUACCAUGAUGUUUCUAUAUUUCCUCUGAAGCAUAGACCAUUACUUAGCUAAUUCGUGUUGUUAGUUUCUUUAAAUGAAAGAAAGUAUUGCUAGGCUUCAUUAUGCGUCCCUAUUGUGCUCUAUUGUCAGUUCUUUUGGCAACAGCUUUCAUAAUCAUAGCCAGACCUAAGUACGUAAUCACUACGAAGCAUUGUUUCUUCUUCGAAAUACUCUAAUGACCAGCUAAAACAGCUCCUUCACCAAUCUUCAAACAAAAUAACAACUAAAAAUUAAUGGAUAGAAACGUCAAAUAUGUCACUGAUUUUGCCCUUAUGACACUUCCUAAUCCAAGUGGAUAUUAAAAAUUUACAUGCUCUUUAUUAAGUUUUAUUGAAUGAGGCGCUAUUAAAUAAAUUUUGGGCUUCACACUCCACCAAUUAAGUGCAAAGCGAGUGGUAACACUCAUUCUAAUGGCUCAUAGGCAGUAAUUGAACUUUGUGUGACCACACAGUUCCUAUAAGGUGAAGAAAUCCAAAAUAAACGCUUUAACUCGACGAGAAACCUGGGAACUGUAGUUGUUCCCGGUGCCAAAAAAAUGAAGUGUCGAACAAACACAAACCUUUUCUAAAAGAAAUCAACAAACCAAAAAGAUACCCAAAGAAAGAUUAAAAUACUCAAAUUUGCAGCCCAAGCAUUCCUAAUCGACCACAGACCUAUUAAGAGAGUUGUAGUGAGAGGGAAAGAAUGAACUCACAUGUAGAUUCUACCGGAGAAAGAGAGCUUCAGGCGGAGAUGAGAGAAAGGACUGAAAGCCUAAGAUUUUGUUACGUUUUCGUAUUAUUAUCAAAAAUGAUGAAAGGUGU